rnacentral:tRNA from 1 species
GGCCCCGUGGCGGAAUCGGUAGACGCACGCGACUUAAAAUCGCGGGCUUUUGGCGUGAGGGUUCGAGUCCCUCCGGGGCCA